CAGCACCUCAAGUGGUCAGGAUGAUUAUUGGGCCUAAAGCAUCCGUAGCCGGCGCUGUAAGUUUUCGGUUAAAUCUGUACGCUCAACGUACAGGCUGCCGGGAAUACUGCAGCGCUAGGGAGUGGGAGAGGUAGACGGUACUCGGUAAGAAGGGGUAAAAUCCUUUGAUCUAUUGAUGACCACCUGUGGCGAAGGCGGUCUACCAGAACACGUCCGACGGUGAGGGAUGAAAGCUGGGGGAGUAAACCGGAUUAGAGACCCGAGUAGUCC
rnacentral:rRNA from 1 species